CCAGUGUUGUAGCAGUGGCACAAGAUCUCAUGAACAAGUUAAUAUUCACAUAAAGUAUUCAGCAACCUCAUACCACAGUGCAGCAAAAUGCAGAGCAGUCUCAUGAGUGCUGGGAAUGACAAGCCCAGACCCCCAAACAGUCCAGGAGAUGGUAAGGCUUUUCCCCUCUCCAAAACAAUGACAUGACUGUAGAGGUCCUUUAUAAUUGGAGCUACAUUCACCCUGCGGGGAUCAAGCAGGACUCAUGAUCUUCACCAGCAGCUCCCUCAAAGGUUCAAACAGCGUGGUCUUUUUCUCAAGUGAAACUGAAUUCGUCCUGUCUGGGAAAACACAGGUUACCCCUGGAAUGUCCUUUUAUCAAAAAACAUUUGUUGACUUUUCACCACCAUUUGUUCCGCUAGAAGCUAACUGUCAUGGUUCUGGGUCCGUUGGACCCAGUAUUUUGAGUUCCUUAUGUUUUGGUUUAUUUUGCAUGUUUGAGUGUGUUGGGGUUGUCUGGGGUUUUGAUUAUUUUGCGAUAUAUUAUAUUACUGUGAUUCUGGGUUUGGGUUUUUGUUCGCAGGUUUUAUGUUCUCAUGUUUUGUGUGGGUUUAGUUCCAUGUGUCUCUCAGUGUCGGGUCUGCGUCUUUGUGUAGUGAUCUCUUGUUUCCCGUUUUAUUAUGAAGGUCUGCGUCUUAGGUGUAUGGGUUCGGUUUUACCUCUUGUCUCGUCUUGUUAAUUACUCCCAGCUGUGUCCACCACCUGUGUGUAAUCUCCCUGUGUUUCUCUGUGUGUAUUUAAGUCGCGUCUUCUGUCUUUGUAGUUGCUGCUUCGUCUGUGUUGUUUACCUCGGCUUCCCUGCGUCUCUUCAUCCGUCCUCCCUGCAUCUACGUUUCGGGUUUGUUUUGUUAGUUUGUCCAGUUUAGGUUUUCUUAGUUUCUAGUUCACCCUCGCCACCGCUGUUUGUAUUUUCUUCUGUUAAAUAAACUCACCUGCACCAGAGCUGCCGCAUCUUGGGUCCUCCCUACUACUCCACACGUCUGCCACACCGGACGUGACACUAAACAUGUACAGACAUGUGUGGACAUUCAUGCUCCCCUCCAGACCUGUCACGUUUGCUAGUUCAUGUCCUUGAAUAUUUUGUGGUGCUUAAGGUUUGAGGCAAUAGUGAUAUAUUGAGUUUGAUGUAAUCUUUAAAACAUAGUUGUUUAAUCAACAGACAAUGUAUUAUUUAAUUCUGUUUUAUCAUGUGUGACAAUUAUUUUUGUCUUCAGUGUGAGUUUGAGUGGAAAUAUUUUGUUAAGGAUGAUCUGGAUGGAUGACAUUUAAUGUUGCUUUAUCCUGGCACUAUAGAAAAUAAAGCCGUAUGGGAGUAUAACUAUUUAAGUUAGACAAUGUUGCUGUUGUGGAGUGGAUGUCAUGGUCCGACAGCCCUUGCCUGGCUGCCUGCCCAUGUGUUAUUGUGUGCAUGUUGCUCCCUUCCUCUCUCUCCCACUCUCUCUCUCUCUCU